UACAGAGGUCGUCAAGCGUUGUUCGGAUUCAUUGGGCGUAAAGGGUGCGUAGGUGGCGGGGCUAAGUUUGGUGUGAAAUCCCGGGGACUCAACCUCGGAACUGCACUGAAUACUGCCUUGCUAGAGCACUGGAGAGGGAACUGGAAUUUACGGUGUAGCAGUGAAAUGCGUAGAUAUCGUAAGGAAGACCAGUGGCGAAGGCGAGUUCCUGGGACAAGUUGCUGACACUGAGGCACGAAGGCUAGGGGAGCAAACGGG
rnacentral:rRNA from 1 species